rnacentral:rRNA from 1 species
CCCCUAGAUGUCCUGGGCCGCACGCGCAAUACAAUGUAAAGUUCAGAAAGCAUAUCCUGUUCCGGAAGGCAAUGGGUAAUCUUUUCAAUAUUUUACGUGUUAGGGAUCGAUCUUUGCGAUUAUAGAUCUUGAACGAGGAAUACCUAGUAAGUGCAGCUCAUCAGGCUGUACUGAUUACGUCCCUGCCCUUUGUACACACCGCCCGUCGCUCCUACCGAUUUCGAGUGGUCCGGUGAAUCUUUUGGAAUUAGAGUGCAAACUCAAACUAAGAUCGAUAAACCUUAUCACUUAGAGGAAGGAGAAGUCGUAACA